AUGAGCCGGCGUCGAGAUGGUAGGCGACGAGCGUGUCGGACUCGCAGUAGACGUAGAACGUGUCGCCGCAGACGGCGCGGGAGCAUGCCAGGCCGACGUCGGUGGGGAACCAGGCGAUCUCGACCCAUUUGUCGGUCAUCGAUUGUAUAUCUCGCCGGCCACGAGGGGCUCGUCCCAUGGCCCUCGGCCACCCACAGCGAUAAGAGCUUGCCUUGCCUGAGCUGGCUGUUUCUCUUGAUUGGCAACCUUGCCGUGACCGUGAGCUGGGCAGUGGAAUCGGUGUCCUCGUUCAGUACAUCCCUGAGAUGGAGCCACCGGAGUGAGAGCCCAUGCGGGUCCUCGUACACGGCGGAGGUGCCUCCCAGCCGGAACUUGCCGCCGGUGUUGGCGCGCCGGAUAUGCUUCUCGACGCGGGCGUGCACAAAGCUGCGACUGGCGGACAUCUCAAACACCCCCAGCACCGGCCAUGACCGGGCCGGUAGCGCCGAUGAGGGGGCUGGACACAAUGACUACCUUCUACGUCUUGGUCUUGACAAAGUCGGCGCUCGACCCCUCGGAGCGGCCGUCGACAACGUAGAGCUCGUCCCCGACGCCCACGACGGAGAACAAGAACCUACCCUUGAGCGGGGCCGCCCCGACUCGGCGCCACCGGUGCGCGUAGAGCGCGUGCACGGCCGUGGCGGCGGCGGACGCACCCCAGCCACCGUUCGCCUCGAUCCCCGAACAGGAACAGCCAGGGCGUCAUGGCUGCGCGCGGCCCCUCUGGGUACAGGCAAGGAGCGAGGCCAGCGGUUCAUGAAAAAACGUCAGGGGGGUAUCUGCAAAAUGGCUAGCGACGACCGAACCGGUCCGGCUGGCUCCACUUGGCUGCUCCUGAUUGGCCCAGGACUAAACAUGCACAUCUGA
rnacentral:rRNA from 1 species